rnacentral:lncRNA from 1 species
GUCAUUUUAAAUUACUCAGGUAAACGCAAAAGAAAAUAACAAAGAAUGAAGGGAAUGAAAAAAGCCUGCAGGACUUAUGGAACACCACCAACAUGUUACUCAACAUUUGCAUUUUGAGAGUUCCCACAGAGGAAGUGGGAAAAUAAAGGGAAAAAAAAAACUUGUUUAAAAAAGAAUCACAGGGAACUUCCCCAAGUCUGUAGAGGGAGAUUAAGAGAAAUGAAAAGAAAGUAUUGUUUACAUACUAUAAAUCUGGAAAGGGAUUUAUAUCUAAACUAUAUCAGGAACUCAAACAUCUCAAUAGUAAGAAAACGGUCCAAUUUAAAAAUAGGCAAAAUGGCUGGGCACAGUGGUGCAUGAUUGUAAUCCCAGCUGCUGGGGAGGCUUAGUCGGGAGGAUCACAGGUUCAAAGCCCGCCUCAGCAACAGCAAGGCACUAAGCAAUUCAGUGAGACCUUAUCUCUAAAUAAAAUACAAAAUAGAGCUGGGAAUGUGACUCAGUGUUUGAGUGCCCCUGGGUUCAAUUCCUGGUACCCCUUCCCUCUAAAAAUAGACAAAAGACUAAGUGUGGUAUCCCACACCUGUAACCCCAGCAACUCAGGAGGCUGAGGCAGGGGAAUCACAGUUUGGGGCCAGCCUCAGCAACUAAGUGAUGCCCGAAGCAACUAGUAAAACUUUGUCUCAAAGUAAAAAAUAAAAAAGGGUGGAAAUGUGGCUCAGUGGUUAAGUGCCCCUGAGUUCAACCCCUAGUGCUAGAAGAAAAAAAAAAAGUAGACAAAGGAACUAAACACACAUUUCUCAAAAGAAGACAUACAAUAAAAAUGCCCAAAAAGUGUGUGAAAAAAAUGUUCAAUACCAUUAAUCUUCAGGGACAUGCAAGUUAAAACCACAAGGAAGUAUCUUCUCAUACCUGUUACAAUGGCUAUUAUCAAAAAGGUGAUAAACAGUACAAUGAAUUGGACAUAACUUUUCUAUCACAUAUGAAUACUCUACCAGUGUAACUCUACAAGAAUGGAAUCCUAAUUAGAAUAAGUUGUGCUCCAUGUAUGUAUAAUAUGUCAAAAUACACUAUUAUCAUGUACACCUAAAAGGAACAACCACCAACAAAAAAUAGAUAAUAGAUGACAACUUCUGGCCAAGAUGUAGGGAUGGGAAACCCAUGUAAACUAUUGCUGAGACUGUAACAAGGUAUAG